AUACGUAGGGGGCGAGCGUUGUCCGGAAUGAUUGGGCGUAAAGGGCGCGUAGGCGGCCCGGGAAGUCUGGAGUGAAAGUCCUGUUUUUAAGAUGGGAAUUGCUUUGGAUACUGUCGGGCUUGAGUGCAGGAGAGGUAAGUGGAAUUCCCAGUGUAGCGGUGAAAUGCGUAGAGAUUAGGAGGAACACCAGUGGCGAAGGCGACUUACUGGACUGUAACUGACGCUGAGGCGCGAAAGUGUGGGGAGCAAACAGGAUUAGAUACCCUGGUAGUCCACACUGUAAACGAUGAAUGCUAGGUGUAGGGGGUAUCGACCCCUUCUGUGCCGCAGUCAACACAAUAAGCAUUCCGCCUGGGGAGUACGGCCGCAAGGUUGAAACUCAAAGGAAUUGACGGGG
rnacentral:rRNA from 1 species